rnacentral:rRNA from 1 species
UACGGAGGGUGCAAGCGUUAUCCGGAUUCACUGGGUUUAAAGGGUGCGUAGGAGGGCAGGUAAGUCAGUGGGGAAAUCUCCAAGCUUAACUUGGAAACUGCCGUUGAUACUAUCUGUCUUGAAUAUUGUGGAGGUGAGCGGAAUAUGUCAUGUAGCGGUGAAAUGCUUAGAUAUGACAUAGAACACCAAUUGCGAAGGCAGCUCACUACACAAUUAUUGACUCUGAGGCACGAAAGCGUGGGGAUCAAACAGG